CGAUGGCGUGGGUGGACUUCAGUCCCAGUUCCUUCUCGAGGGGCUCGAUGAAGGUCUGGAACAUGUCCAGGAUCAUCGCC
rnacentral:tRNA from 1 species